CGGCGCUGACCCUGGCCCUGGGGUGAAGGGAUUGGACUGGGACCGGUGGUCCUGUUGGGGAAGAGGAGAGCCCCCACCCCAGCCGUCCCAAGGAUGUGGAUCCAGGCCUGAGCACCACAAGUCACACCUCCACAGCUUUACACUGGCAGAGCCCAGGCCUCUUCUCUGAGAACUAACUCUGGAGCAUACAGACGACUCCCCUGUUUUCUUCCCCCUUUGGCAGGUGGUGCCGGCAGCACCAGGCCCAGAGGAGCCCAUCACUGUGGCCCACAUCGUGGUGGAGGCGGCCUCCCUGGCAGCAGACAUCAGCCACGCAUCUGACCUCGUUGGUGGUGGGCACAUCAAAGAGGUCAUCGUGGCUGCUGAGGCGGAGCUGGGAGACGGUGAGAUGGCACAGGCCCCGGGCAGCC
rnacentral:lncRNA from 1 species